ACGCGAGAAACAACAAUUCCCAUACCGUGGUGGGACAUCGUCGUACGGUAGCACCGCCUAUAAAAAUGAGAUGGAUUGGGUACCUACGUAUGCUAAAACCCACACGGACAAUCAAGGGAAUUGGGUUGAUCCGGUUGCUGAACAAAAUUACCGGAACAUACAACAGGCCACAAGUCAAUGGAGCGGUGAGGGUCCGCCAAUUGCCCCGUAUCAGGAAGCGUUGGGUGAGCGGCGAGGAUGGUACCGCGGGAUGGGGCCUAAACCUUCUUCCAACACGCCCUCGCACUCGUCAUCUAACAUGUCGUCUUCGCAAGCUCGGACGCAAGAACCCUUUUCCGAGGUAAACUGCGCAAUUUAAAAAAUGACAAACGAACGCAUGUUUCCUUGUUAAAUAUA